rfam:Malonomonas rubra DSM 5091 genome assembly, contig: EJ68DRAFT_scaffold00002.2
GGUUGUGAACUGUGGGGACUAAUCUCCCCCUGCAGAUCCGACCACGGCGCAAGCCGAAACCUACUUAAAGAAGAAGGAG